GUCGAACGAUGAUGCCCAGCUUGCUGGGCGGAUUAGUGGCGAACGGGUGAGUAAUACGUGAGUAACCUGCCCUUGACUCUGGGAUAAGCCUGGGAAACUGGGUCUAAUACUGGAUACUACCUCUUACCGCAUGGUGGGUGGUGGAAAGGGUUUUACUGGUUUUGGAUGGGCUCACGGCCUAUCAGCUUGUUGGUGGGGUAAUGGCUCACCAAGGCGACGACGGGUAGCCGGCCUGAGAGGGUGACCGGCCACACUGGGACUGAGACACGGCCCAGACUCCUACGGGAGGCAGCAGUGGGGAAUAUUGCACAAUGGGCGGAAGCCUGAUGCAGCGACGCCGCGUGAGGGAUGACGGCCUUCGGGUUGUAAACCUCUUUCAGUAGGGAAGAAGCGAGAGUGACGGUACCUGCAGAAGAAGCGCCGGCUAACUACGUGCCAGCAGCCGCGGUAAUACGUAGGGCGCAAGCGUUGUCCGGAAUUAUUGGGCGUAAAGAGCUCGUAGGCGGUUUGUCGCGUCUGCUGUGAAAGCCCGGGGCUCAACCCCGGGUCUGCAGUGGGUACGGGCAGACUAGAGUGCAGUAGGGGAGACUGGAAUUCCUGGUGUAGCGGUGAAAUGCGCAGAUAUCAGGAGGAACACCGAUGGCGAAGGCAGGUCUCUGGGCUGUUACUGACGCUGAGGAGCGAAAAGCAUGGGGAGCGAACAGGAUUAGAUACCCUGGUAGUCCAUGCCGUAAACGUUGGGCACUAGGUGUGGGGGACAUUCCACGUUUUCCGCGCCGUAGCUAACGCAUUAAGUGCCCCGCCUGGGGAGUACGGCCGCAAGGCUAAAACUCAAAGGAAUUGACGGGGGCCCGCACAAGCGGCGGAGCAUGCGGAUUAAUUCGAUGCAACGCGAAGAACCUUACCAAGGCUUGACAUUCACCGGACCGCCCCAGAGAUGGGGUUUCCCUUCGGGGCUGGUGGACAGGUGGUGCAUGGUUGUCGUCAGCUCGUGUCGUGAGAUGUUGGGUUAAGUCCCGCAACGAGCGCAACCCUCGUUCUAUGUUGCCAGCACGUGAUGGUGGGGACUCAUAGGAGACUGCCGGGGUCAACUCGGAGGAAGGUGGGGAUGACGUCAAAUCAUCAUGCCCCUUAUGUCUUGGGCUUCACGCAUGCUACAAUGGCCGGUACAAAGGGUUGCGAUACUGUGAGGUGGAGCUAAUCCCAAAAAGCCGGUCUCAGUUCGGAUUGAGGUCUGCAACUCGACCUCAUGAAGUCGGAGUCGCUAGUAAUCGCAGAUCAGCAACGCUGCGGUGAAUACGUUCCCGGGCCUUGUACACACCGCCCGUCAAGUCACGAAAGUUGGUAACACCCGAAGCCGGUGGCCUAACC
rnacentral:rRNA from 1 species